GUGGGGAAUAUUGCACAAUGGGCGAAAGCCUGAUGCAGCGACGCCGCGUGAGGGAUGACGGCCUUCGGGUUGUAAACCUCUUUCAGCAGGGACGAAGCGCUAGUGACGGUACCUGCAGAAGAAGCACCGGCUAACUACGUGCCAGCAGCCGCGGUAAUACGUAGGGUGCAAGCGUUGUCCGGAAUUACUGGGCGUAAAGAGUUCGUAGGCGGUUUGUCGCGUCGUUUGUGAAAACCAGCAGCUCAACUGCUGGCUUGCAGGCGAUACGGGCAGACUUGAGUACUGCAGGGGAGACUGGAAUUCCUGGUGUAGCGGUGAAAUGCGCAGAUAUCAGGAGGAACACCGGUGGCGAAGGCGGGUCUCUGGGCAGUAACUGACGCUGAGGAACGAAAGCGUGGGUAGCGAACAGGAUUAGAAACCCUGGUAGUCC
rnacentral:rRNA from 1 species